rnacentral:lncRNA from 1 species
GUCGCGUUCUCCAGUGCGUGUAACAGCUCUCACCCCAUCUCGCCUCAUUCUGUCUCCGAAGUCCCAACCCUAGCGAGAAAAGGGUGGGAUAGAUCCCCGGAGGUGGUAAGGGCAACGGCGGCAGUAGCAAAGACCUGUUUCAAGAAGAACCGGAGUCACCUUGGAAGCGGUAGCGAUGCCAGAGAUGUGCCUCAUCUCCGAAUGCUCCACGACAGCCGCCACCCAAAAUGCUCCGGCAAGGUCGGCAUGCGCUACUUCCA